rnacentral:lncRNA from 1 species
CUGCAAAUUCCCAGCCUGAUUGCCAGUUAGCAGUCUGGCUGGCUUGAAAUAAACAAGUGAAGGAUCUUUCUUCAGCGGCUGCAGAUGUUUCAGUGCUAAUUCUUUUGCAUGUACUUUCUUGAGAAAGAGCAGUUUACUUAAAGUUAAUUUAUUGCAGUUGUUUUCCUAGGUUAUCUGUUUUAUAGGGUAAUUGUCUUAAGGAAUUAAAAUCUGUGGAAAAAUUAGGUCCUCAUUAAGAUACGAUGAAUAAAUUUACUCACUGUAAGGUAGGUCAAGAAUAGAGGCUAGAAAAUGGAACAAGGGCUCUUAACUAGACUCUCAACUUUUUCUGGGCAGACAGCUUCUGUUCCUCUGUUUGCAAAAGAUUUGUUCUCUAAAAGGUGUUGAGUUCAGGAUCUGAGACCUGGCAGAAGAUCAGCUACAGGAAGAGAUGCCUGAAUGAUUUCCUGACUUCAUAGAAGACUGCAUGACAUGGAUGACUUCUUUCUGUGGACACGUUUAGAAGGCAAAACUUUUUAUCAGAGCCCUUGGGUUUGUCUUUUUUUUUUACAACAUGAGUGAGCUUUCAAGAUGAAGAUGUAAAAAGUCAUGCAAGGUUGGAAACUUGUCCCAAAGCUGAGGCUCUUUGAAGCUAUGGUAUUGCAAUCAAAUUCUUGAUGUAAUGAAGCAACGCCCGUGUGUGUAGGUCCAUGCACACAUAUGUGCUCCACUCGAUUGUUUUCCUGUAAUUUCUUCAAACCUUGCAAUCAAUCAAAUCACUGGCUUCAAAAACUCACCAAAGCAGUAUUUGACUCAUCAAAAUAUUAUCGUGAAUUUGGAACAGAGGAGCCAUUUAGAAACUUUGGACUGGAUGGAUGAAAUGUCCUCUUGUCUGCUGAGUGGGCAUAAAUGGCUACAUAAAAUACUGAGUGGUUGUGAGUAAGUUAUACUGUAGGAUGCAAGGCCAUGGUUUGGAAAAAUAAUUUGGAACUUGAAGUAAAGUGGGACUGGUAUCAAGAAGUUUUGAUUUGUCAGCCUGUUUUACCAGAACUGUGGAGAAGCUGAUACCUCAUUCUAGAAAAUAAUUUCUUCAGAUAUUAGGACCGAACGAAAAGUGUAAUAAAGCAAAGAUAUCAACAUAUCACUCUACUAUCUUGUUUAGAGUUAAGAGCACACAAUAAAGUCAAACAGUUUUGUCAUAUCAGUAUGCGGUCUUAGAAGUUUCUCCUUAAGACAGCUGUAGAGCUCAUGAUUUCAGCAUGUAAGAGAAUGAUACAACUGUGGUUUUGUAGUAUCAGCCAUUAAGAACUCUAAUUUCAAUUUAUCAAUGUAGAAAAAAAAUUAAAAAGGUAAAAUUUUAAAUCUAUUUUAAUGUUAGGCUUUUGAGCUGAGAGAUUUUAGUUACAUAUUCAUUUUUGCCAGAUAGACAGUAAGUGAAUUUAAAAAAAGUUCAUAUUCUUACAGAAGUUCUUGUAGUAUUAUUUCAGGAUCAAGGACUUAAAGCACUUCUAGUGUAAGAGGUUUUUUUUAUUAAUAAUUCUUUAGGGUAGGAAAAAACAUUUGAUUUAUAUUUAAAAUUUUUCAUUCUUUAAAAUGAUUUUUGUUGUUGUUAGGACAUAGUUCUGUGCAGCUGGCUGUUAAACUGUGUCAAAACUCUAUGCAACUAUUAAAAAGAAAAAAGGUAAAAUUUAUGGGCUUCAAAAUAAUCAUAGAAAUUGAUUUUUACUGUGCAUGAAACUUAGUAGGUGAUUAGCAGAGAAAUACAAAGCAGACACUAUUAAAAUGUUCAGUGACUUGAAGUGUAUUGGGAUCUUAGCUUUUACAGACUUAAGUUCUCUCUGCCAAUUUUCUCUUUACAAAUUACUGGUAUUUUGACUGCAUGAGAGUGCUAUGAUAGUAAGAUAACUUAGAAGGUCAGCUAGAGAAACAGUCCUGGAUCUUUACAUACAUUUGUAUAUUUUAGAUAGUAGGUGUCUUUUUAUGAUUCUUCUUAGGUUAAUUAUCCUGAUUAGCUUCUGCAAUUAUCUGAAGAACAAUGGCAUUUUAUUAAUGGAUGUUUUCUUUUUUUCUCUGAUUUAACCCUCUUCAUCAAAAUGUGAUGUGUAAUAAAAACAAUGGCAUAAGGAUUAUAUGCUAAUGCAUUCCAGAUACGUCAGAGCAUAAGUGAGUGACCAUUACUUUGUACUCUGAAUUUUACUCAUAAAGCAAAAAUACCAGUGUUAAUUUGCAAUAGAUUGGCAGUAGGUUUAUAGUGUUUUUGGAAGAUAAAAAUGUAGACCCCUAAGAAUUUUGAUUGGAAAGAAUAAUUGGGCUACUUAGGAGCUAGGAGAAAGUGGCCUGUAUAUUUCUUUUUGCAAUUUGCUUGUUGCCAAGAGCAAGAAAAAACAUCUUUUUUUUUUUCUAUUAGUAUUUAGAUAGACCCUGAGAGUCUAUGAAGUUUUCACCUUGAAAAGGAUAGCUUACUAGAGAGAAGUGAAUGUUUUCACCUUUGCUUUUUCUGUUUGGUGUUAUGGAGACAAUUUUUCACUCAGAGAAAAAGUAUCUACUGCAGAGGGUGUGGGGUGAAGAAAAACAAGCAGUUUUAAACUAAAGCUUUCAUCUUCCAAAAUUCUUGGAAGCAUAGAAGUAAGCCCUAAAAAUGUCAUUAUUUUUUCUUGUGUGAAGAGGUAUUGUUUGACUGUCAAGGACAAAUUUUAAAUCUAGUAAAACUUGCUCAACAGUUUCUACUUUGGCUCAUUGUUAUUAUUAUUUUUUUUAAUAAAUCCAUCUGUAUUGCCAUGAAGAAAACCAAGCUUUAAUCAUGUUCCAGAAGGAAUCCUCCCUGCUUGUUCUCAGAAAGCCUGAUUUCAAUGUUUUCUCUCCCUUACCGACCUGCCCAUCUUGACUAAUCAUACUGCAGCAGUUCUGUGAGUGAGGGCUAAUAGUAUAUUUAUUUGGAGAGGCGGAGGAAAAAAAUAAAUUUUCCUGAAUGCCAUCUGGUUAGUGAUGGGAAAAGUAUGUUUUAUUGCUCUAGAUCAAGUGGAGGGAUGUGUAUAAGCUUUGAAAAGGAAAGAUAUGCUUGCCAGAAGCCACAGAUAUGAUUUUCUGCUGUAAGAAUGGCUUCUGUUAAUUAGAGGUACAGCUCUGGUGGGAACUUUGUAAAAGAGCCUGAGCAAGUUGACCAAAGUUCUGUUCAGAGCUGAGAACACAAGUCCCUGCCCCUGGGCAAAUUGCUGCCCU